AUACGUAGGGGGCGAGCGUUGUCCGGAAUGAUUGGGCGUAAAGGGCGCGUAGGCGGCCCGGUAAGUCUGGAGUGAAAGUCCUGUUCUUAAGAGGGGAAUUGCUUUGGAUACUGUCGGGCUUGAGUGUAGGAGAGGUAAGUGGAAUUCCCAGUGUAGCGGUGAAAUGCGUAGAGAUUGGGAGGAACACCAGUGGCGAAGGCGACUUACUGGACUGUAACUGACGCUGAGGCGCGAAAGUGUGGGGAGCAAACAGGAUUAGAUACCCUGGUAGUCCACACUGUAAACGAUGAAUGCUAGGUGUAGGGGGUAUCGACCCCUUCUGUGCCGCAGUCAACACAAUAAGCAUUCCGCCUGGGGAGUACGGCCGCAAGGUUGAAACUCAAAGGAAUUGACGGGG
rnacentral:rRNA from 1 species